AGAUUGAACGCUGGCGGCAUGCCUAACACAUGCAAGUCGAACGGUAACGCGGGGGGCAACCCUGGCGACGAGUGGCGGACGGGUGAGUAAUACGUAGGAAUCUGCCCAUUUGUGGGGGAUAACCCGGCGAAAGCCGGGCUAAUACCGCAUACGCUCUACGGAGGAAAGCGGGGGAUCGCAAGACCUCGCGCUAAUGGAUGAGCCUACGUCGGAUUAGCUAGUUGGUAGGGUAACGGCCUACCAAGGCGACGAUCCGUAGCUGGUCUGAGAGGACGAUCAGCCACACUGGGACUGAGACACGGCCCAGACUCCUACGGGAGGCAGCAGUGGGAAUAUUGGACAAGUGGGGGCAACCCUGAUCCAGCAAUGCCGCGUGUGUGAAGAAGGCCGUGGCGGGUUGUAAAGCUACUUUCGAGUAGGGAAAGAAAAAAGUCGGAACGCUAAACACCGUACCGAGCUUAGACCGUUACCCAUAGAAGAAGCACCGGACUAACGUCCGU
rnacentral:rRNA from 1 species